GAAAAUUAUAUAUAAUAAAUAACAUAAGCUAUUUAGUAUAAGUAGGUAAGUUUGAAAUGUAGUGAUAGUAUAGAGUACUGUAAAGGAGGUUUAAUUAGGAGAAAGAUUUUAUUGUUAAGUUACCUUUUGUAUUAGGGACGUUUAAGAUAAAAGUUUAGAUAAAUUAUCCCGAAUUGCUUGUGGGCUAGCUAGGAUUUUUACUAUUGUUGCAUAAAUGAAACUAAUUUCUAGUUAGUGAUGAAAUAUUAGUCAAACGGCAGGAUAUCUGGUUUUUUUAUAAGUAAAUUGAAUUUAUAGAAUUUUUAAUUCUUAAAGUAUUGUUAGGAUUAGCUAAUAGUAGAUCUAUAUUAUGAGGGAAGUUUUCUUAGGUAGGUUUAAUAAUGAUUAUUCGUUAAAUUUUAUUAUUAUUUAGGUGGGAAAUUAAAUUAUUAAGACAAUAUUUGGGGUGUAUAAAAAUAUGGGAUAUGACAAUUUAUUCAUAUAAAUAUUGAAUGUAUUAGUAGCUUGUAUUGUGAUUGUUUUAAUGGACAUAAGAAGGGAUUUAAAGGGAUAUUAAGUGUUAUUAAGGAACUCGGCAAAGUAAUCUUGCCUGUUUAAUAAAAACAUGGUUCUUUGGAUUUUAAUAGAGAAUCUGGCCUGCCCACUGAAUUAAGUUAAAGGGCUGCAGUAUUUUGACUGUACAAAGGUAGCAUAAUCAUUAGUCUUUUAAUUGAAGACUGGAAUGAAUGGUUUGACAGGAUUACACUGUCUCAGUAAUAGUAGGUUAAUUUUACGUCCUUGUGAAAAGGCAAGGAUAAAUUAUAGGGACGAGAAGACCCUAUAAAACUUAAUUUUAAUAGGUGUAUUAUUUAGAGGAUUAAUUUAAUAUAUUCGUUAAGGGUUUGCUGGGGCGGUAUUUAUUUUACAUAAAUUUGAUUAAAUAGUGAUGAUUAGCUUAAGAAAUGAUCCGAUAUUUUGGUCGAUAAAAAGAAGAAGUUACUUUAGGGAUAACAGCGUAAUAAUUUUUGAGAGUUCUUAUUGACGGAAUUGUUUGCGACCUCGAUGUUGGAUUAAGGAAU
rnacentral:rRNA from 1 species